UACGGGGGGGGCAAGCGUUGUUCGGAAUUACUGGGCGUAAAGGGCGCGUAGGCGGGCUCUCAAGUCCGGGGUGAAAUCUUUCGGCUCAACCGGAAAAUAGCCUUGGAUACUGGGAGUCUCGAGGGAGGUAGGGGCGGGUGGAACUUCCGGUGGAGCGGUGAAAUGCGUUGAUAUCGGAAGGAACGCCGGUGGCGAAAGCGACCCGCUGGACCUCUUCUGACGCUGAGGCGCGAAAGCCAGGGGAGCAAACGGG
rnacentral:rRNA from 1 species